GUAACAAAUUGACAAUCCCCCCUCCCGGAGUGUGUAUGCCCCGGAGUGGAGGUUGGCUAACGAACUACGGCGAGGUCAGGAACACUAAUUAAGUUAAUUAUUGCUUAUCGUUAUAGCUUAAAUUUUGCGCAAAGCGGGCAUACUUUGGUAGAUGGAAACUGCGACUGCCGGACAGAGGUCACACAUUUACAUAAUGCCAAUUGAACGCGCUACAGAGACUGCAUAGCUAAAGAAAAGUUACUGCUUUAGCAAAGAGCUUCACGCGCGGGCACCUCCGACUUCGACCUGGCCGAUGAUGAAUCAUGCUGUUCACGGAUGACCGGCCCUAUUUGCCUUUUGUUGCCAUUUACAAGCAGGAGGUCAUUUCGUUGAUGGUGUAGUCUUUUGGAAAUCUGUUAUCAUGGUUUUGGAAGGUUAAUAACUCUGUAAAAUUGCAUUGCAUUGGGGCCUGUAGGCGGGCCGUAUUUUUGAAGUCCUAUGACGCGGCCUGUGGCCAAAAUAGGGCCGGUCAUCCGUGACUGUCAUCAGAUGACAGGACUUUUUCGCUUUGUACUCAUCCAAAUGCACCUAAACGCAUAGGAUUGUUGUGGAAUAUAGCACAUGGAAGACAUUGCGUGGCCGACCUUAAGGGCGCGCAUGAUGCCCCGGCCGCGCUUUAUGGGCCUCCAGGAGCCCCAAAACGGAUUGUAUAGGAUCGAUCCAUUGCAAAUAGUGAAAGGGCAUGGGCUCCGUUUCUGGUUGGGAUGUCAAGAUAGUUACACUGAUGGCCGAGCGACUUAAGCCUGCUAACAACCCACAAGAUGUAAUAAUGAUGACAUAACAAUCUAA
rnacentral:lncRNA from 1 species